AACGCACCUUGCGCCCUUUGGCAUUCCGAAGGGCAUGCCUGUUUGAGUAUCAUGAACACCUCAACUCUUCAUGGUUUUCCAUGAUGAGCUUGGACUUUGGGGGUCUUGCUGGCCUGCGGUCAGCUCCUCUCAAAUGAAUCAGCUUACCAGUGUUUGGUGGGCAUCACAGGUGUGAUAACUAUCUGCGCUUGUGGUUUUCCACCAAGUAACCUUCAGCAGUGGAGGUUCACUGGAGCUCACAGACGUCUCUCCUCAGUGAGGACAGCCCUUUGAAUGUUUGAUCUCAAAUCAGGUAGGACUACCCGCUGAACUUAA
rnacentral:misc_RNA from 1 species